rnacentral:SRP_RNA from 1 species
UAGUUGCUGCGCUGCCCCAUAUAAGUGAUGUUGACGUCUUGGUCUUGCACAACAGAAGUCUGUGAACCGUGUCAGGGUAGGAAUACAGCAGCACUAAGCGGAAUGUUCUGUGUGUUGCGAGGGUGCCUGGGCCGAGUUAACUGUAUGGGUAACGGUGGUAGCUGGCGUUCAAAGCAGAUCGCGC